rnacentral:lncRNA from 1 species
UUGGUCAUAUUAACUUAUUUGUAGAUCUUACUUUGCUGAUCAUUUUUGCUGUUUACAGUUUAUCUUUAUCUAUAAUAAUAUUCAAGAUAAUGACCAAAAACUGCAAAAUUUCCUAAAAAUUACCAAUUAAGUGGCAGCAACCCAACAAUGGUUUGUUUGAUUCAUCUGAAAAUUUCAGGGCUGAUAGAUCUUGACCUAAUGAAC